GGUGCGUUAGUUCAGUUGGUUAGAAUGCCGCCCUGUCACGGCGGAGGUCAUGGGUUCGAGUCCCAUACGUACCG
rnacentral:tRNA from 2 species